GAUGAACGCUGGCGGCGUGCCUAAUACAUGCAAGUCGAGCGAACGGACGAGAAGCUUGCUUUUCUGAUGUUAGCGGCGGACGGGUGAGUAACACGUGGAUAACCUACCUAUAAGACUGGGAUAACUUCGGGAAACCGGAGCUAAUACCGGAUAAUAUUUUGAACCGCAUGGUUCAAAAGUGAAAGACGGUCUUGCUGUCACUUAUAGAUGGAUCCGCGCUGCAUUAGCUAGUUGGUAAGGUAACGGCUUACCAAGGCAACGAUGCAUAGCCGACCUGAGAGGGUGAUCGGCCACACUGGAACGUAGACACGGUCCAGACGCCUACGGGAGGCAGCAGUAGGGAAUCUUCCGCAAUGGGCGAAAGCCUGACGGAGCAACGCCGCGUGAGUGAUGAAGGUCUUCGGAUCGUAAAACUCUGUUAUUAGGGAAGAACAUAUGUGUAAGUAACUGUGCACAUCUUGACGGUACCUAAUCAGAAAGCCACGGCUAACUACGUG
rnacentral:rRNA from 1 species